UACGUAGGGGGCUAGCGUUGUCCGGAUUUAUUGGGCGUAAAGAGCGUGUAGGCGGCCAGGUAGGUCUGGUGUGAAAACUCGAGGCUUAACCUCGAGAUGUCAUCGGAAACCAUCUGGCUAGAGUCCGGAAGAGGAGAGUGGAAUUCCUGGUGUAGCGGUGAAAUGCGCAGAUAUCAGGAGGAACACCGGUGGCGAAGGCGGAUCUCUGGGCCAUUACUGACGCUGAGGAGCGAAAGCGUGGGGAGCGAACAGG
rnacentral:rRNA from 1 species